CCUACGGGAGGCAGCAGUAGGGAAUAUUGCUCAAUGGGGGAAACCCUGAAGCAGCAACGCCGCGUGGAGGAUGAAGGUUCUCGGAUUGUAAACUCCCUUUGUUAGAGAAGAUAAUGACGGUAUCUAACGAAUAAGCACCGGCUAACUCCGUGCCAGCAGCAGCGGCAAUACGGAGGGUGCAAGCGUUAUUCGGAAUCACCGGGCGUAAAGAGCGCGUAGGCGGGAUAGCAAGUCAGAUGUGAAAUCCUAUGGCUUAACCAUAGAACUGCAUUUGAAACUGUUAUUCUAGAGUAUGGGAGAGGUAGGUGGAAUUCUUGGUGUAGGGGUGAAAUCCAUAGAGAUCAAGAAGAAUACUCAUUGCGAAGGCGGCCUGCUAGAACAUGACUGACGCUGAUGCACGAAAGCGUGGGGAGCAAACAGGAUUAGAUACCCGGGUAGUC
rnacentral:rRNA from 1 species